rnacentral:rRNA from 1 species
CACGCCGUAAACGAUGUCGACUUGGAGGUUGUGCCCUUGAGGCGUGGCUUCCGGAGCUAACGCGUUAAGUCGACCGCCUGGGGAGUACGGCCGCAAGGUUAAAACUCAAAUGAAUUGACGGGGGCCCGCACAAGCGGUGGAGCAUGUGGUUUAAUUCGAUGCAACGCGAAGAACCUUACCUGGUCUUGACAUCCACGGAAGUUUUCAGAGAUGAGAAUGUGCCUUCGGGAACCGUGAGACAGGUGCUGCAUGGCUGUCGUCAGCUCGUGUUGUGAAAUGUUGGGUUAAGUCCCGCAACGAGCGCAACCCUUAUCCUUUGUUGCCAGCGGUCCGGCCGGGAACUCAAAGGAGACUGCCAGUGAUAAACUG